ensembl:lncRNA
CACACUGUCAAUGAGCAUGGGAGGAGCAGAAGCUGAGAGCCAGUAGAAGACGGUAGUCAGAGGACCAGAGGUAGCUCAGGAGGGUCGUUGCCCCUGAGAAGGAAUCUGGUUCAAGAAGAACCUUUAUUGCCAACUCUGCCUGCUUCGGCUUUCCCAGGUGGCUCCCUGGUAAAGAAUCCGUCUGCCAGUGCAAGAGAUGCAGGAGAGGAGAGUUCCAUCCCUGGAUGGGGAAGAUCCCUGGAGAAGGAAAUGGCAACCUACUCCAGUUAUUCUUGUCUAGGAAAGCCCAUGGACAGAGAAGGCUGGUGGGCCGCAGUCCAUGGGGUCAGCAAAGAGUGGAACACGACUGAGCGACUGAGCACGCACGCAGGCUGCGUUCAACUCGCAGUCUAGAGAGAGAGACGGAGAUUCUUAUUUUUCCGGCACUGAUUGAGCAAUAUCCUGAGUAAGACAAGGCGGGGCCACCCCCGCUUGCUUUCUCUGAAAGCGUGAGUACAGUGCGCGGGAGCGGAGGUAUACAGAAGAGCUCCGAGGUCUGGUCAUCAGAGGCCGGCUUUCCAAGUUCCACUGACGACCGUGAAGAUUCCUCAUGACCGUGCCUACCAUCAACCUGCAGGGACCUCGACAGCGAACGCUGCCCGACCGCAAGCGGCAGCGGGGAUGGAGGGCACUGACCUCCUCGAUCGCCGGUGGCCCCAAACUUCGGUUCGGGUACCUCGUCUUCGUCAUGGGUGUCGUGUUGUGGAUGCGGACAACUGUGGGUCGAGAGUGGUGAACAUCUAUCCGAAGGCCGACUCCCCGCCCCCACUGGCAACCUGUGGGCAAGAGCUUUUACAGACAGAAGUGAGGAGGGAGCCACAUAUAGAAACAGCAGAGUCAGCUCUGAUAGUCAUCUUCAAAUUGGUCAUCGGUGGUCUGACCAGCAUCAUCUUGAUUGUUUUAGGUACAGUUCCAGGGUCCAUUUGUUUCCAUUUCUCUGAGGCCAGUUCUUGGAAUUGUGGCACCUCAUAUCCUGGGUACAGUCUGGUCAUCAUGUAGUUAACUUCUCCACUUAGGGUAUCUGUAAGACAGCUCACCAUGAAGAUGCUCAACAUCACUCAUUAUCAGAGAAAUGCAAAUCAAAACCACAAUGAGGUACCAUCUCACACCGGUCAGAAUGGCUGCUAUCAAAAAGUCCACAAACAAUAAAUGCUGGAGAGGGUGUGGAGAAAAGGGAACCCUCUUACACUGUUGGUGGGAAUGCAAACUAGUACAGCCACUAUGGAGAACAGGGUGGAGAUUCCUUUAAAAACUGGAAAUUGAACUGCCAUACGACCCAGCAAUCCCACCGCUGGGCAUACACACCAAGGAAACCAGAAUUGAAAGAGACAUGUGUACUCGAAUGUUCAUUGCAGCACUGUUUACAAUAGCUAGGUCAUGGAAGCAACCUAGAUGUCCAUCAGCAGAUGAAUGGAUAAGAAAGCUGUGGUACAUAUACACAAUGGAAUAUUACUCAGCUAUUGAAAAGAGUGCAUUUGAAUCACUUCUAAUGAGGUGGAUGAAACUGGAGCCUAUUAUACAGAGUGAAGGAAGUCAGAAAGAAAAACACCAAUACAGUAUACUAACACAAAUAUAUAUGGAAUUUAGAAAGAUGGUAAUGAUAACCCUGUAUGUGAGACAGCAAAAGAGACACAGAUAUAAAGAACAGACUUUUGGACUCUGUGGGAGAAGAUGAGGGUGGGAUGAUUUGAGAGAAUAGCCUUGAAACAUGUAUAUUAUCAUAGUUAACUAGAUCGCCAGUCUAGGUAUGAUGCAUGAGACAGGGUGCUCACGGCUGGUGCACGGGGAUGACCCUGAGAGAUGGGAUGGGGAAGG